UCAAAUCACGUAUUUCAAUACAACACAACUCUAUUUUUUAAUUUUUUUAACAACAUACAAAAUUCAUCUCUUCCAAUAUUCAUUAACAUUAAUUUCACUUCUUAAAUCAUUUUUAUUCGCAGUAAAAUUCACAUACCGUUAUGACAACAUAUUUUAAUAUAAUAUUCAUACACAUAUUUUCAACACAUAUUUCCAUUUUCACUAUCACAUACUUCAUUUUUCUAAGAAUUCACACACACAUACACUGUAAACUCAUAUACGAUUCUCCCUCCAUUUACGAUAAUUUACAAAAUAUCAACACCAACGUGAAAAAAUAGACAGUUUAUUUUCAGAAUCUAAUUUUAGUUUGGAUUUGAAUUACAGUGGUCAGAAUUGACAUUGAGUUGCAGAUAGAUCUGGUUUGCCAUUGAUCGAUAAUGGAGGAGGGACGACGAUGAUGGCAGAUCUGGCUGUCGUCGGGAAACGAGGAAAAGGAACGACGCGGUGGCGAGGGUGCACCUGAGUCACCGGAAAAGGAAAAGGGACAGUGACAUAUCACCGGCGUUGGUGGCGCAGAUUCGAUGAGGAAUCGGCCGGAGAGAGAAGCGGUGACUUCGUUGGUGGUAGGGAAAUAGGAAAGAGGGAGGCGCUUGUGUGGGAGGAGGAUGGCGACGAUGGCGAUGGGACGAUGAUUCCGACAAAAUAUUUUACCGGAAAGAUCCGUUUCCCUUUUUCCGUUCACUCCCUUCCAUCGUCUCUCUCUCACAAUCUCUCUAUAUCUCUUUGUUAUGGUGUAUAUUGUUGUUCUAUUGUAUGAAAAUCUCUAUGAGAGUAUUUGUGAAGUGUGUGCAAGAAACUGUGUAUAGAUAAAAAAUAAAUUAAUAUAUCUGUGUGUGAAUAUAGGUAUCUGUGAACAUAAAUUGUUAUAUUUAUUUAUCCUUUCUGCUUUUCUAUCCGUUUCAAAUUUUAACCAAACAAUGUUACAUACAAAAAAUAACAUUCAAUACAUAAUAACAUAUGAAUUCAUAUAAUAAAUUAACAUCUAUUAAAUAA
rnacentral:lncRNA from 1 species